rnacentral:misc_RNA from 1 species
GAUGAAGAACGUAGCGAAAUGCGAUAAGUAAUGUGAAUUGCAGAAUUCAGUGAAUCAUCGAGUCUUUGAACGCACAUUGCGCCCCCUGGUAUUCCGGGGGGCAUGCCUGUCCGAGCGUCAUUGCUGCCCUCAAGCACGGCUUGUGUGUUGGGCCUACGUCCUCCUCCCGGGGGACGGGCCCGAAAGGCAGCGGCGGCACCGCGUCCGGUCCUCGAGCGUAUGGGGCUUCGUCACCCGCUCUUGUAGGCCCGGCCGGCGCUUGCCGACACAUCAAUCUUUUUUCCAGGUUGACCUCGGAUCAGGUAGGGAUACCCGCUGAACUUAAGCAUAUCAAUAAGCGGAGGA